CUGGAGAUGGCUAGCAUCCAGUCCCCCAGUGCAGAAGAAAGAAGCUCAGUUUCCCAAAUGGGCAAGGACCGCUACUGGUAGACAGAUAGGGAAUAGAUGGGUUGGAAGAAAGGAGAAGAGCAGAACAGAGUCAAGUGUCAGCGUUUGAGCUAUUCCAGGGUGAACCCAGCAAUCUCAGGUUUGGUCUUUUGAAGCAAACCAAGAUCCCCAGGAAACUGUGGCAUGUUCACGUACUUGCCAUUGAACACAGAGUUGUUGAUCCAACGCCACCUUUUCUCUUCACGAUGGUAAAUUAAGCCAAUAAAAUACUUCUCAGCAUCAGUUAUGUCCUGAAGAAACUUCUGGAAAUAAAAAAAAAAUUUUA